rnacentral:rRNA from 1 species
CAAUGGCGUAUAUUAAAGUUGUUGCAGUUAAAAAGCUCGUAGUUGGAUUUCUGGCAGGAGCGACCGGUCGGCCCAAGUGGUGUGUACUAGUGUUGCAUCUGGCCAUAUUUGCGGAGAGCGUGUGUGGCAUUAAUUUGUCGUGCACGGGACCCGCAUCGUUUACUGUGAGAAAAUUAGAGUGUUCAAAGCAGGCUUAUGCCUUGGAUAUGUUAGCAUGGAAUAAUAAGAUAAGACUUUGGCGGUCUAUUUUGUUGGUUUGCACGCCAUUGUAAUGAUUGAUAGGGACAGUUGGGGGUGCUAGUAUUGGCCGGCCAGAGGUGAAAUUCUUGGAUUCGGUCAAGACUAACUUAUGCGAAAGCAUUCACCAAGGAUGUCUUCUUUAAUCAAGAACGAAAGUUGGGGGAUCGAAGACGAUCAGAUACCGUC